rnacentral:sRNA from 1 species
CACCGCCUGGGGAGUACGACCGCAAGGUUAAAACUCAAAUGAAUUGACGGGGACCCGCACAAGUAGUGGAGCAUGUGGUUUAAUUCGAAGAUACGCGCAGAACCUUACCAACACUUGACAUGUUCGUCGCGACUUUAAGAGAUUAAAGUUUUCGGUUCGGCCGGACGAAACACAGGUGCUGCAUGGCUGUCGUCAGCUCGUGUCGUGAGAUGUUGGGUUAAGUCCCGCAACGAGCGCAACCCUCACUUUUAGUUGCCAUCAUUAAGUUGGGCACUCUGAAAGAACUGCCAGUGAUAAGCUGGAGGAAGGUGGGGAUGACGUCAAGUCCUCAUGGCCCUUACGUGUUGGGCUACACACGUGCUACAAUGGUAUUUACAACAGGAAGCAAGACGGCGACGUUAAGCAAAUCCUUAAAAAAUACCUCAGUUCGGAUUGCACUCUGCAACUCGAGUGCAUGAAGCUGGAAUUACUAGUAAUCGUGGAUCAGCGUGCCACGGCGAAUGCGUUCCCGGGUCUUGUACACACCGCCCGUCACACCAUGGGAGUUGGUUCUACCUUAAGGCAAGGUUUAAAACCCUUGACCACGGUAUAGUCAGCGACUGGGGUGAAGUCGUAACAAGGUAGCCGUAGGGGAACCUGCGGCUGGAUUACCUCCUUUCUAAGGAUGAGUAAAAGUAAAAUUUUGCUCUAAAUAAUAUACAGGUUAAUGUUGACCGUCCUCAUUCCUCUUCUUGAAUUAGUGUUUCUCUUGCAUGGGGGCCGGUAGCUCAGUUGGUUAGAGCACACCCUUGAUAAGGGUGGGGUCGAAAGUUCGAGUCUUUCUCGGCCCACCAACUUAAAAUUAAAGGGGGAUUAGCUCAGCUGGGAGAGCGCCUGAUUUGCAUUCAGGAGGUCAGCGGUUCGAUCCCGCUAUCCUCCACCAAAACACUUAGUUAUGAAAUUUUGUGAAUAAAAUAUAAUUAAUAUCAAUAUCUAUAUCCGAACAUUAGUGAUGUUAUUAGCUAAUGUUCAAAUAAAAAUUUGAUUCAACACAGAAUUUUUUUCUG